ensembl:lncRNA
CUAGUGGCAGCUAGGAUCCGGUGGGAGAGACCGUGACACUCUCCCCCUAGCUCUACACACGCAUCCAAUAUUUUUUAACUAUCCGUCCACGCAACGGAGACGGCAAGGGCUGUGAUUGGUCCCAGGGACGGACUGGCCGUCGGGCAUACCGGGCGUUUGCUCGGUGGGCCGAGGUGCAAUAUGGGCCGAUAGUCCCGAAUUUUUUAUUAUUAUUAUUUUUUUCCCAUAUAAUGGUCUGACCGGCUGGCCCACAAAAGUAGUUCAUCAGCGGCCCUAUUGACACUGGGAUGGCCCAAUCACAUCCCCUGGGCUGACCCAACACCCCUUUCGAUUUGGACCUGCCUACAUAAUGUAUUAGGACGGUAAACAAACUCAGCGUGGCCCAUGGCCUUGACAUUCUUGACACGCGCACGCUAGUCUGCGGCCCAUUGGCUGUCUUCUUUACUGACUAGGGGCUCGUCCAAUCAUAUCACCAAACACCUUCUACCUUUAGCUUGGUCGGUGCACAGAAACGCACGUUUCGUGAGAAUCCUCCAGUCCAAAAUGGAGAGAAAGAGAAAAGGGGGUGCAGAGAAACUGCGAGACAAGAAGAUGCUUGCUCUUCAAGCCAACGCUGCCAAAUGUGGCAAAAUAUCAGAAAUGUUUGCCACGGCAUGGCCAUCAGCAGCUCCCGUGGAUGACAGUGAUGCUGGUGGCGAUACGAUACAACGACCUACGGCUACUGAAGAUGUCGAAGUCCCUUUUGACUGGGUACACACCCAGUCAGAUGAACUCUACCCAUUACUGUGAUGGACGUGGAGUAUACUUUUUUUGUUAAUAAAUAACACCUUUUGGAAGUGUAUAAUGCGUCCACUCUCACUGAUUGCUUUUAACUCAUUGCAUGGCUUAAGGUAUGUGGAAAAUAGUUGCACAGUUGGAGUCAGGCUUUUAGCUAGGAUUUUUUGUACAGCACUUGAUCGUUUUUAGGUAAUAUUACAAUUACAC